rnacentral:pre_miRNA from 1 species
UACGUAUUCCCUCCGUCCGGAAAUACUUGUUGGAAAAAUGGAUGUAUCUAGAUGUAUUUUAGUUUUAGAUACAUCCAUUUUUAUCCAUUUGUGUGACAAGUAAUUCCGGACAGAGGAAGUAGCUG